rnacentral:lncRNA from 10 species
GAACACAAAAUGGCGACACGUGGUUAGCAUUCGUCGCCAACGAGAAAUUGGGGUCGGCCCGAAAGCUCUAGAAUGCACCCCUCUUCCUCCCCGGGGCCUUCCACCUCCGCGAGUUUUAUGACUUAAAAAAGCCCACAGGCUGGUCUGAAGAGGAAGACAAACAUAAAGAUGAAGUGCUUAAUUCAAGGUCACACAAUGUCGGGGAUGGACCUCCAGAUUUCCUUACUGACCUGCAUUAUCUUGUGGAUACCUGAGUGAAUUCCACACCACCCAUUUUAUAGAUGAAACCACUGAGACAUGGAGCAAUUGACUGAGUAGUCACUGCCCCACCCCUGCCUGGAGCCUCACACAUGACUCGCCUCCUCUCAGUGACCACAGGUGAGACGUGGUCUUGUAACACAGUGGUUAAGAAUGUGACUUUGGAGCCAGCCUGCUAGGGGCUGAAUUCUGACUCAGCCAUUUACUAACUGUGUGACCUUAGGUCACAGAAUUUUCCACACUCCUUGACAGAGGUGCUUAACCCUUAUCCAUCAGCAUUCUCAGACAG